GAUGAACGCUGGCGGCGUGCCUAACACAUGCAAGUCGAACGAAGCACCUUACCUGAUUCUUCGGAUGAAAGUUUGGUGACUGAGUGUCGGACGUGUGAGUAACGCGUUUGUAACCUGCCCUGUACAAGGGGAUAACAGCUGGAAACGGCUGCUAAUACCGCAUAAGCGCACGAGGAGACAUCUCCUUGUGUGAAAAACUCCGGUGGUACAGGAUGGGCCCGCGUCUGAUUAGCUGGUUGGCAGGGUAACUUCAUACCAAGGCAGCGAGGAGUGGCCGGUCGGGGAGCAGGAAAGGCCACAUUGGAGCUGAGACACGGUCCAAACUCGUACGGGAGGGAGGAGUGGGGAAUAUUGCACAAUGGGGGAAGACCUGAUGAAGCAACGCCGGGUGAGUGAAGAAGUAUUUUGGUAUGUAAAGCUCUAUCAGCAGAGAAGAUAGUGACGGUACCUGAUAAAGAAGCACCGGCUAAAUACGUG
rnacentral:rRNA from 1 species